CUGCAAACGAAAUCGAAAUGCGUCUAGAUUUUCUGCAGAUUCCAGUCUCCAGCUCGAAACGCUUUGCUUAAGCUGAGCACAGCGAAAACGGAAAAUAGAUCCAUAGAACCCCCUCAGGGUUUAUCACCUCCUAAUUUUCUCAAUUCGGCUCACACCUGAUUCGAUUGAUCCACUGGCCAAAACAAUCGACUUGCUUUUGCUCAAUACUCUGCGAGAUCACAUGAAUUCCUCCGCGGCCACUUGGAUUUUCCUUAUUUGUUUGCUUUUCGGCGCUUCUGCAAAUUCCGCUUAUGGAGACGACUCCAAGAAGAAUAAAUUUCGGGACCGAGAGGCCAGUGAUGACUCCCUCGGUUACCCUGAAAUAGACGAAGAUGCAUUGUUGAAUACACAGUGCCCUAGAAAUUUGGAGCUGAGAUGGCAGACGGAAGUUAGCUCUAGCAUUUACGCUACUCCCUUGAUCGCUGAUAUUAACACUGAUGGAAAACUUGAUAUAGUAGUUCCUUCUUUUGUUCACUACCUUGAAGUUCUUGAAGGUUCUGAUGGAGACAAAAUGCCUGGCUGGCCUGCCUUCCACCAGUCAACAGUGCAUGCCAGUCCUCUCCUUUAUGAUAUUGACAAGGAUGGUGUGAGAGAAAUUGCUUUGGCUACCUAUAAUGGUGAAGUCCUCUUUUUCAGGGUGUCAGGCUACAUGAUGACAGAGAAAUUGGUGGUACCUCGGAGGAGUGUUAAAAAGGAUUGGCAUGUGGGUUUGAAUCCUGACCCUGUGGAUCGUUCUCAUCCAGAUGUUCAUGAUGACCAACUUGUGUUCGAGGCUGCUGAGAAGAAAUCAGGGUCUCAAACAACUGUAAGUAGACCAGAAGUGAACAGUUCAGUUUCUGCAUCAACUGAAAGUCACCCUCCAUUUAAUGUAUCUGUUCCUGUGAAUGAAAAGAAAAUGAAUCAGAGUCAGAAAGAGUCGGUCAUCACACUGCCCACAGGUGUAGAUAAUACUUCUAUAAAUACAGGGUCGGUUGGAAUUAAUAAUACUGAUAAUGGAAAAAACACUGGGUCAGUUGAAACAAAUAGUACUGAGAAGGGAACAAAAACCGGGAGAAGACUUCUGGAUGAUGACAAUUCCAAGGGUACCCAGGAAGGUAGUUCAGAAUCUGGAGAGAAUAACCAUGAGGAUGCUCAUGAGGCAACUGUGGAAAAUGAUGAAGGGUUGGAAGCAGAUGCAGAUUCUUCUUUCGAGUUAUUCCGUGAUAAUGAUGAGCUAGGUGAUGAGUACAAUUAUGACUAUGAUGAUUAUGUUGAUGAAUCCAUGUGGGGAGAUGAAGAGUGGACUGAAGGGCAACAUGAGAAAUUGGAGGAUUAUGUUAAUAUUGAUUCACAUAUCCUGUGCACUCCCGUGAGUAUAGACCUUAAUGACAUUAAUACUUUUUAGUGGAUGAUCCUUACUUGAUGGAUGCAAAUGAGAUGUAAUUAUGGCGGGAAGUUGAAAAUUUUAUUCUCUUAAUUUCUUCAGGUCAUAGCAGACAUUGAUAAUGAUGGGGUAUCAGAAAUGAUUGUUGCAGUUUCAUACUUCUUUGACCAUGAGUAUUAUGACAAUCCAGAUAAUUUGAAAGAACUGGGUGGCAUUGAUAUUGGAAAAUAUGUUGCCGGUUCUAUUGUUGUAUUUAACCUUGACACGAAGCAAGUUAAGUGGACUAGAGAAUUGGAUCUAAGUACAGAUACUUCAACCUUCCGUGCAUAUAUAUAUUCUUCUCCCACGGUGGUUGAUUUGGACGGGGAUGGAAAUUUGGAUAUUCUCGUUGGAACUUCAUUUGGCUUGUUCUAUGUCUUGGAUCAUCAUGGAAAUAUUAGAGAAAAGUUUCCUUUAGAAAUGGCUGAAAUUCAAGGAGCUGUAGUUGCGGCUGACAUCAAUGAUGAUGGCAAAAUUGAACUAGUGACUACUGAUACACAUGGAAAUGUUGCUGCGUGGACGUCACAAGGAAAAGAAAUUUGGGAGAGGCAUCUCAAGAGUCUUGUUUCUCAGGGCCCAACAAUAGGUGAUGUUGAUGGAGAUGGCCAUACUGAUGUUGUAGUACCAACCCUGUCAGGGAACAUAUAUGUUCUUAGCGGCAAGGAUGGUUCAAUUGUACGGCCAUAUCCAUAUAGAACACAUGGGAGAGUGAUGAAUCAAGUUCUUCUUGUUGAUUUAAGUAAACGUGGGGAGAAACGCAAGGGACUCAGUCUGGUGACAACAUCAUUUGAUGGAUAUUUGUACCUUGUAGAUGGGCCCACAUCUUGUGCUGAUGUUGUUGAUAUUGGUGAAACUUCAUAUAGCAUGGUCUUGGCAGACAAUGUUGAUGGUGGAGAUGACCUUGACCUUGUUGUCACAACAAUGAAUGGAAAUGUUUUUUGCUUCUCAACUCCUGUUCCACAUCAUCCCCUUAAGGCUUGGAAAUCAGCUAAUCAAGGAAGAAAUAAUGUUGCAAACCAAUACAACCGUGAAGGGAUCUAUAUUACACCUUCUUCAAGAGCUUUCCGUGAUGAGGAGGGGAAGAACUUCUGGGUGGAGAUUGAGAUUAUAGAUAGAUACAGAUUCCCAUCUGGGUCUCAAGCACCUUAUAAAGUCACU
rnacentral:misc_RNA from 1 species